UCGCAGUUUAGUUCAAGUGACCGGAAGUGACUUCACUGCAAACCGGAAGUGUUUUUAUAUCGGCCGUCAGCUCUCUAGCAAGCUAAAUUACUUUUAAAGAUAAUUCUUCUUUACGAUUUUUGGAAAUGGACCAACGCGAGCUUUUCAUGUAAUUUUCCCCCCGGGGUUUUGGAGCAGCGCCACCACAGGCGCAAAGCGGGAAGACAGCUGAACUGCGCCAGGCUCGGUGAGAGCUGAAAGGCCUGCUGAGAACAAUGGCUGACAUGAGGAGAAACAUGCAGGAUCACCACCUGAACUCCUGAAGGAAGAGCCAUUGUUCCAGUGUUGGCUUUUGUCAGGGCCACUCCGGAUAAAAGAGAGAAACAACAUGGUGUUCCAGUUCAUAGCAAUGACAGCGCACACGUUUUGUUCCCUUCAAAAUAUUAUUCAUCCACAGCGUUUUGUAUUUCCACGGCCCCCUGUCACACAGGCGCAGCUUUUGCUCCAAAUACAUUCUUAUUUACUUUUUGUGCAGCUGGAGUCUGAAUUAUUUUUCAUUAAAGUCAAAAAUAAAGGGAAUAGCAGUGUUUUUCUCCUGAUAAAGCUGGUUUAAAUUUGAAAGAUUUACUUAUUUUUCAAUAAAAAAGGGAAUAAAUUCCCACCUUUAA